CCCCCGCCCCCGUCAUGGCGCCGCUGCUUGGCGCCACCGACGCCGCCGUGCCGUGGCUCCGCCUUCUCCUUCUUGGCUUCGUGACGUGCCCCGCCUCUCCCAGAACGGCGCUCCACCCCCUCCCUCUUCCCGGCUCUGUCAGCCCGACGUUGUCAAGCCAGCACGGGAGCCUCGGCGCCGCCAAACCCUAGCGGCGCUGCCCGGCGCCAUCACGCCCGCGCCACUCGACCCUGCCGCCUCUGGCCAACACCAGCCUCCUAGCCGAACGGCCGAAGUUCACGCCGGAUGCGCCACCCUGCUGCAGAAGAAGGCCAGAGCCGGAGCCAUUCGCCGGCCACGUGCCACCCCAUCAAGAGACGGACCAACAGCCGCACUACCAUGGCAUGGCGGGACGAGGUCAUCCGCCGCGCUGUCUAUGUCUCCAACAUCUAUCACCAGGUCCCGAUCCAUUCCCUCCCAUGUGUCGGCGUUUACUCGCGUUAAUUGUGAAUUUUUUCCCUGUGAAUUUUCUUGGUAAGCCCUGCUCCACACCUAGAUGAAAAUCAAUUCUACAACACGGCUGAUGUAAAUUUGUGAAUUACCAACAACUAAGUACUACUGUUGCUCCAUCUAUGUCAUCUUCAGGUUUAGGAAAGCCAGCCUCAGAACCCCUGCUUCCAUCACAGCGAGUGUUUCGACGACAGCUAUGUGAUUCCAUAUCCAUAUGUUUAUUCCCCUGUGAUAUUGUGUGCUGCUAUGUAUACUACAUCUUAUACUUUUCUGCCUCUAAUGAUAUCAAAUUUCCAAUAUUCAUAAACCGUUAAUUGCCGUCUAACAAAAGGACAACAAUACCCAAGAGAUUUAUGUAUGCUUGCAAUUACAUUCCCUAUUACUAUAACACUGCACCUUUAGAAAGGCACCACAUAGAUCAGAUGUGUGGACAGCAGCAGCCCAGCCUGCUAAUGAUAUAGUUCCCUACAAAUGUUAAAAAUGGAUCAACACAUGCAUGAAAAAAAAAAUCUGCUUCUUGCCCCAGCUGUUACAUUGCCACUGCUUUACCCAAUUCUUCAGUUCUCUAUCUCUGGAUAUGGAACACCUGUUUUUCCUAUGAUUAGUAAAAUUCGUCCAUCUAUGCCUGCCUAAACUAUGUUUGACAUCAUACUGACAAGUUUCUGUUCUUUGCCUGCAACACACUGGGGUAUAUAUCCGCUCGGGCUUAUUUGGAGGCACUACAUGUGAGAACAAUAUGGUGGAUCUGUUGAUUAUGUCAGGUGUAUUCUUCUCUAUUCAUUUUGAAUGGUUGCAUUGUGGAUGUGUUGUUCCGGAUGCAUGUAUUUUAUUGGUGACAUUUGUGUUGUUUCCUCAUGUUGAGAUUCAACAAGCACUUCCUUCUUGGCUAAAUCAUCUUGCUCUCCCUGACAACCUUUUAGGAAGAUCAACAAAGAUCGUGCCCUAUAUGUAUUCCUUUUACAUUUCCUUGCUGCAGUGGAGCUGAUCUACACGGACGGAAGCAUAGAUUUCUGAUGCUUCACCUACUCAGUCAGCAUUUGCCAAUAUGUUUCCUUGCUGCAGCAACACGUACUCAUCAACCAGGUGCUUAAUUAGACGUAAACUGCAUCUCCAUGAAUCAAGCCAAGUAGUACUUUCCUUUUAAUAUUCACAGACAUUGCUCACUGUCCUUGCUCCUUUGUUAAGAGAUAUGGACCUUUGGUGUAUAGGUUCCUGCUAAUAUGGAGAGGAAAGAUCCAAAUGUUUCUUCAUGUACCUUUGUUUGUUUGUUUUUUGAAAAUUUUCAUGUACCUUUGUUGCUUGGAAUUUUUUGCGACACAUAUCCAGUUUCUUAAAUUUUAAAACAUUUCAUA